GAAAACCUUGUGAAAAUAGUAGGUUGAUUAUGAUAGAAGCUGGUAACAGUAUUCAUUUCUCUAAAAAGCUAAGCAUUUAAUGUGGUCGAUGAAGAUUGCUAAGAAAUUUGUUCUAUUUCCAUAUUUUAUUCACAUGAAAAAGCUAUCAAUAUUAAGAUUAUCCAUGGAAGAGUGUACAAUUGUGCACAAGGGUUAUGCACACAAAGUACAUGUUUCUUAAACGAAUUCUAUGUCCUGAAAAAUUGAACCCUAUGGAUUGGUGGAUGUUUGGUAGCGUAUUAGGAGAAUUGAAC
rnacentral:misc_RNA from 1 species